GAGACUUGCUGGGAAGAACAGCAGCCUGGCCCUGCUACCCCCUGGCUUCUGCUCACAGCACUGACCCCAGCUAAUCCAAGAACAUGUCACCUAUAAUGAGAAUAUUGAAGAAAAAUCAACCAUCUUUCAGAUGUGUCUAUAUCAUGGUACGGUUCAUGGGUAAGAAACUAACUGAAUUCCAGUGGGUGCACCUGGCAAAUGCAAACGUGGUUUUCCGUUCAGGAUGCUGGUCUUACCUGUGAAGGCGUUCAUGAACGUGGAGAGGGACCGGUUCAACAUUUUGAAGAAAGGGUCUCUGCACGGAUAUUUCCGAGACCCACAAAGGAUGGUAUGCUCAAGAAUGUGAGGAACACCGGUACUGUCCAUGGGAGUGGUGCCGAACUGCACGCUAGGGAAGAAGGAACGGCAUGCCAGGGAAGGGGUAGGAAUAAGGAACAGAAGGCCAGGGACGGGGAGGAACAGAACGCUAGGGAAGGAGAAUGACUAGAAUACAAAACGUUCAUCUUAGUGCUGCGGACACAGUUCCCAGAUGCAUCAUCACCUCAGGCUACUAGAAAUUAUCAUUCUGACACCACAAUUCUCCAACACAGGGUCUCCCAACUCUAAUGUAAAUCAUUGAUUCCGACUAUAACAUUGUAUUUUGAUGAGAUUGUAAGUCCGUGUAAGCUUUUCCUUAUUUUUCAAGAUGCUCUGUCAAUAAAAAUACUAGUGAGAUGAUAUUUAAACCAC